CUUAAGCACAAACUUUAGAGAAAGAUGAAGAUGAAACUUGUUACGUGCGUUUUUCUUUUCACAAUCUUAUUUCUACUACAGUCAACCAACGCUGCUUUAAUAUCUGCAACUUUGACUGGAUACAAUUUGGGACGAUAUGGAUUAUUGGGACGUGGGAUGUACGAUACCGCGUACUAUGGUCGUGGCUACGUACCACCCCCCCCAUUUCCCCUUAAAACCAUUUAGGUUCCUUCCAUUUUCCUUUACUUUAUUUCUUAUAUUAAUAAACCUAGAUAAAAUGUGUAACGUAAAAUUUGUUAAUAAUUUUAAUAGAGUUUUGUUAAUAGAGUUUUGUCCAGUGCCGGAAUUAUUUAAACUAGAUUUUAUUUAUUAGUUGUGCCGUUCUUUAUAUUUAGUACUAUUGAGUAUUCUUGAUACAGUAUCAAUAUAUAUCAAUAGUAUUCAGUUGUGACAUGUGCGUUAAUACCAAGCCAUGAAGACUAUUCUUGUGUUAUAUAAAAGUUUAGUGAUAAGUUAAAAUAUUAUGUGUU